CUCUCCCCUCUCCCUUGUUUUUUGUCUGUCAUGUGCUGAGUGGGUGUGGCGCUCCUGGCUCUCUCCCUCCUCGUCAAGACACCUGUGGCUUCCUGUUCACCUGAUUCACAUCCAGCAAUCACCUCUCCUGUUUUAAAACCCCAGCCUUCCAACCAGUCUCUGCCAGAUUGUCCGUUCACCCAAGUGGUAACACUCGCUACGGCCAGCCUCAGUGUUGUCAAAGACUGCUUUUCUUUUGUAUACCUGUUGCAAGCCUUGUUUUGACUUUUUGUGUUUUUGUGUCCAGAUUCCCACUACAGCCCUGAAAGCCCAGUCUGCCUGUCUGAGCCUUGUUCUUCUCUCAAACCUGCUUCUCACCUGUCUGCCCGCUCUAAGCCCCAGGGGAUAUCCAGCACCUGCAUCACUCCAUUUUUUGUGUUCAAUAAACCUCAAUACCUGUUCUGACCUUUUUCCGUGUCCGCGCUUGAAUCCAGACAGCCCAGCCUAACAAGCACUUAACCCUCCACCUGUAAAGGCAUCAGAUACUGAUGAUUAGGAGCAGGACAGCUCUGAAGAGUACAUCCCUCCACUUUCUCUUCGGUUGGGUGGAGCUUUACCAAAUGUUCCAAACUUUGAUGCGCUGCCAGUAAUUGGUUUGGAAGAGACUGUACACGACCUCACUGCAGAUUUUGAGUCUGAACCAUCUACAGAUCCUGACAGCUCCAGUGCCUCACCAGCUGAUUCAAAUGUGCCAACUGUACAGAAGGCAGAGGACAUUGUUGGUGCCAAGGCAUCAAUUGUGUAUGAUGACUGCUUGAAGUACCUUGCGGCCUUUGUUACACCACCGGUGAAACGGUGCACAGCAAUAAAUGUGACUGGUGCAACAUGCCAACACCAUCCACUAUUCCUGGUGAACAUCAAAGGGAAAGGCACUGCAAGCAUGUUAGAAUGGAUCAACGGCAGACCUCAAAUCCUUUCAAAAUCGUAUAUUGUAUGCCAGCAAGCGCUUUGCCUUCAGUCCACCGGUGUACGAAGCCAGAGUCCUCCUGGCAGCCCUGGACUACAACUACCAUCGGGACUGACCAACUCAGAGGGCAGAUGGUACAGAGAUGUACAGACAAGUGUACAAGAAGAAUGCUAAACAGUACAGUGUCUAUGCACGCAAGACUCCCAAAAGCUACAGCUACAUUGGGGAACUACAGAUGCUGGUGGUGAGAUGUAGGCUGGAGAGUGGCUCUGGAAUGCCCAGGACAAGAACCCUAAGGCCAGAUGACCCACGAAGGCUUGGUUUACUUCCACCUGUACCACCCCCCACCAACGGCAGAACUUGUACAAAGACAAGUCAGGAGAGGACUAGGACCUGACUUACAGUAGAGUUCUCCCCAGUGAAGCCAGAAUUGCAGCAUCCAGUGUAUACAUAGUACAAGCCUCCAGCAGAGAGAAGGAUUGGGACCAAUGGCACACCCACAACAUUCACACUGUCCAUGCAAAUAUGAGUGAAUUUGUAGUUCACCAUCUU